rnacentral:rRNA from 1 species
GAGACAGGUGGUGCAUGGUUGUCGUCAGCUCGUGUCGUGAGAUGUUGGGUUAAGUCCCGCAACGAGCGCAACCCUUGUGUUUAGUUGCAAACAGGUCAAGCUGUGCACUCUAGACAGACUGCCGUGGACAACACGGAGGAAGGUGGGGAUGACGUCAAAUCAUCAUGCCCCUUAUGAUCUGGGCUACACACGUGCUACAAUGGCCGGUACAACGGGCAGCGAAGGAGCGAUCCGGAGCGAAUCCUAAAAAGACCGGUCCCAGUUCGGAUUGCAGGCUGAAACUACGCCUACAUGAAGUUGGAGUUGCUAGUAAUCGCGAAUCAGAAUGUCGCGGUGAAUGCGUUCCUCGGGUCUU